CUGAGAAUUUGGUCCAAGGCUUAAGGAGCACAUGCAAUAUUACAUGAACCAUCUAGAAGAAAUUAGUAAGCUCUCAAAAUUAAAAGCUCAAGUAACUGAGGUGAAGGGGAUUAUGAUGGAUAACAUUGAAAAGGUUUUGGAUCGUGGGGAGAAGAUUGAACUUCUAGUGGACAAAACAGAAAACUUGUAAUUCCAGGCUGAUAGCUUCCAGAGGCAAGGGCGGCAACAACGACGAAAGAUGUGGCUGA